GACAGAGGCCUCGAGCGUUAGGCGGAAUUACUGGGCGUAAAGGGCUCGUAGGUGGCCAACUAAGUCAGACGUGAAAUCCCUCAGCUUAACUGGGGAACUGCGUCUGAUACUGGAUGGCUUGAGUUUGGGAGAGGGAUGCAGAAUUCCAGGUGUAGCGGUGAAAUGCGUAGAUAUCUGGAGGAAUACCGGUGGCGAAGGCGGCAUCCUGGACCGAGAUUGACACUGAUGAGCGAAAGCCAGGGGAGCAAACGGG
rnacentral:rRNA from 1 species